GACGAACGCUGGCGGCGUGCCUAAUACAUGCAAGUAGAACGCUGAAGAGGGGAGCUUGCUCUUCUUGGAUGAGUUGCGAACGGGUGAGUAACGCGUAGGUAACCUGCCUUGUAGCGGGGGAUAACUAUUGGAAACGAUAGCUAAUACCGCAUAACAAUGGAUGACACAUGUCAUUUAUUUGAAAGGGGCAAUUGCUCCACUACAAGAUGGACCUGCGUUGUAUUAGCUAGUAGGUGAGGUAACGGCUCACCUAGGCGACGAUACAUAGCCGACCUGAGAGGGUGGUCGGCCAACCUGGGACUGAGACACGGCCCAGACUCCUACGGGAGGCAGCAGUAGGGAAUCUUCGGCAAUGGGGGCCACCCUGACCGAGCAACUCCGCGUGAGUGAAGAAGGUUUUCGGCUCGUAAAGCUCUGUUGUAAGUCAAGAACGAGUGUGAGAGUGGAAAGUUCACACUGUGACGGUAGCUUACCAGAAAGGGACGGCUAACUACGUG
rnacentral:rRNA from 1 species